rnacentral:lncRNA from 1 species
AUCGGUCUUUUUGAUUGAGAUUGAUAUUCAAUCUCUGCAGUGUUUAUGUUAAAAGGAGAUAGAAAACCAAAUCAACUAGAACUAGAUAGAUACUUUUUCGUGUUUCAAUGUUCUGUUUGUUUUGACAGGCAAUUUUCGCUGGGUUCAUGAUCUCCUACUCGUAGGAUUUAUAAAGACUUAGUUUAUUCCCUUAGAAAAAAAAGUUUAACGAUAUUGCCUCUUUUUUUACCAAUAUUGACUGGAUCACUGAGGUACAGUACAGAACAUUGUACAUCCUCAAUGUACUGUAUUUCUGUAUAUUCCAUAGGUAUAUUGAGAUCCAUACAGUGGCCUCUCGUAGCAGAAAUGUAUUGAGAUUUAACUUUUGUAUCCCUUGUAUAUAUGCUCCUUCCAUCCACUUCUGUAUGGUGGUUCCAUUUGAUCUCAAGAAAAGGGAAAAUUUUGGAUUAUUUGCUAGAUGUCCUUGUUUCAUUUUAUUUUGGUUCACUUUUGAAGUUUCUACUCCAAAUUUGUGGCAACUGAAUGAUUUGGUUUUUGGUUUCUUUUAAAUUACAGGCUGAAUAUUUCCGUCAGUUGCUUAAACCUGUAACGUAGUCUGGUCAAGUGAAAGCUUGGGGAGGUUUGGGAUUUUCUUGCUUCUUGUUGCUCUUAUUCAGCAAAAGCCUGGAUUGGUUGGUUUUCUUCAGUGUGUUAGAAAUCAGAAUGACCUCAUUAAGCACUGAAUGCUGAUUGGAACUGUCAGUGCAUUUUUACUACACGAAUACAGCUUAUUUGCUUGCUUCUUGUUGCUCUUAUUCAGCAAAAGCCUGGAUUGGUUGGUUUUCUUCAGUGUAUUAGAAAUCAGAAUGACCUCAUUAAGCACUGAAUGCUGAUUGGAACUGUCAGUGCAUUUUUACUACACGAAUACAGCUUGAAUACCUUUCUUUGUUUCGUCUUUGCCUUUCAUAACUCUUAGACAUUUUGAAAUUUAGAUUUUCCAAUUGGAAAAAGCAUUUCUGUUCCAGUUUACUUGGUUAUUUUGUCAUAGUUACUCAUGC